AGCGAAUAGAUACCCUGGUAGUCCACGCCGUAAACGAUGGAUGCUAGCUGUGUUGCGUAUCGACCCGCGACGUAGCGAAGCUAACGCGUUAAGCAUCCCGCCUGUGGAGUACGGCCGCAAGGCUAAAACAUAAAGGAAUUGACGGGGACCCGCACAAGCGGUGGAGCGUGUUCUUUAAUUCGAGGAUAAGCGAAGAACCUUACCCAGGUUUGACAUCCUGCGAAUCUCUCCGAAAGGAGAGAGUGCUUUAUUGAACGCAGUGACAGGUGUUGCAUGGCCGUCGUCAGCUCGUGUCGUGAGAUGUUUGGUUAAGUCCAUCAACGAGCGCAACCCUUAUAUUCAGUUGGAUUUUUCUGAAUAGACUGCCCCGGUAACGGGGAGGAAGGGGGUGGUAUG
rnacentral:rRNA from 1 species